rnacentral:rRNA from 1 species
AAUUGACCUCGGAUCAGGUAGGGAUACCCGCUGAACUUAAGCAUAUCAAUAAGCGGAGGAAAGAAACCAACCGGGAUUGCCUCAGUAACGGCGAGUGAAGCGGCAACAGCUCAAAUUUGAAAUCUGACCCUGUCGGGGUUCGAGUUGUAAUUUGUAGAGGAUGUUUCGGGCGCGAAGCCGGUCUAAGUCCCUUGGAACGGGGCGUCAUAGAGGGUGAGAAUCCCGUCUGUGACCGGCGAUCAAGCCUCUGUGAAACUCCUUCGACGAGUCGAGUUGUUUGGGAAUGCAGCUCAAAAUGGGUGGUAAAUUUCAUCUAAAGCUAAAUACUGGCCAGAGACCGAUAGCGCACAAGUAGAGUGAUCGAAAGAUGAAAAGCACUUUGGAAAGAGAGUCAAAAAGUACGUGAAAUUGUUGAAAGGGAAGCGCUUGCAACCAGACCUGCCCGCGGGCGAUCAGCCGUCCCUUCCAGGGCGGUGCACGCGCCCGCGAACAGGCCAGCAUCGGUUCGGGCGGCCGGAUAAAGGCCCGGGGAACGUAGCUCCUCUCGGGGAGUGUUAUAGCCCCGGGUGCAAUGCGGCCCGCCUGGACCGAGGACCGCGCUUCGGCUAGGAUGCUGGCGUAAUGGUUGUAAGCGGCCCGUCUUGAAACACGGACCAAGGAGUCUAACAUCUAUGCGAGUGUUUGGGUGUCAAACCCAUGCGCGUAAUGAAAGUGAACGGAGGUAGGAACCCACCAGGGCGCACUAUCGACCGAUCCUGAAGUCUUCGGAUGGAUUUGAGUACGAGCAUAGCUGUUGGAACCCGAAAGAUGGUGAACUAUGCCUGAAUAGGGUGAAGCCAGAGGAAACUCUGGUGGAGGCUCGCAGCGGUUCUGACGUGCAAAUCGAUCGUCAAAUUUGGGUAUAGGGGCGAAAGACUUAUCGAACCAUCUAGUAGCUGGUUCCAGCCGAAGUUUC